rnacentral:rRNA from 1 species
GACGAACGCUGACGGUGUGCUUUAGACAUGCAAGUCGAGCGAGAAAGCCCUUCGGGGUUAGUAAAGCGGCGAACGGGUGAGUAACACGUGGGCAGUCUGCCCCUCGCAGGGGGACAACCGGGGGAAACUCCGGCUAAUACCCCGUAAGUUUCCAGAGUCGCAUGGCUUUGGAAAGAAAGGUAGCUUCGGCCAUCCGGCGAGGGAUGAGCCCGCGGUACAUUAGCUAGUUGGUGGGGUAACGGCCUACCAAGGCGGCGAUGUAUAGCUGGUCUGAGAGGAUGAUCAGCCACACUGGGACUGAGACACGGCCCAGACUCCUACGGGAGGCAGCAGUCGGGAAUCUUGCACAAUGGGCGAAAGCCUGAUGCAGCAAACACCGU